UCAAACAGAAAUAUGUGAUUAUUUCGGAAGAUGAAAACUGUGAUAGUGACAUAGUUUUUUUUAAAUUGUUUGAGAAGCUUAAGUCUUAAAAUGGAGGCGGUUCAGUCAUUUAAUCACGAGAUGUCUUCGUUAUACGAGCAGAAGCCUCCUAUAUCGAAGGCUAAAAUGACUGCCAUAACCAAGGGGGCAAUUCGGGCCAUUAAAUUCUACAAACAUGUUGUACAGAGCGUUGAGAAAUUCAUUCAGAAGUGCAAGCCCGAGUACAAGAUUCCUGGACUGUAUGUCAUAGACAGUAUAGUCCGACAGUCCAGACACCAGUUUGGACCAGACAAGGAUGUCUUUGCACCUAGAUUUGCCAAGAACGCCAAUGUCACCUUUUUCUACCUUUACAAAUGUGCGGAGGAAGAGAAAUCUAAAGUGAUCAGAGUUCUCAACCUUUGGCAGAAAAACUCCGUAUUUCCGAGCGAAAUUGUUCAACCUCUGUUUGACAUGGCGAACCCCGCUUCUGAGAUAUAUAGGUCUCUUGACAACCAGCUUAGAACCACAGGUAAGCUGCAGCAGAGUGGUCCAACUCCUCUUAAAGAGACAAAGCGCGAAAGCAGUGCGCACAGUCAUAGCAGCAGCAGUAAUGGGAUAGAUAAGAAGGAUAUGCAGCAGUUACAGACUAUUAAACAGCUGCUUAGGAACCCACCCCCUGUACAGUUUAACAAGAAACUGCUGGACUUUGAUUAUGGAAGUGAUGAAGAGGAGGGAGGUGAUAAUCAAGAUCCAGUUACACCACAAACUGUUGAUGCAAUCAAGGCUCUGUUAGGAAAUCCAGCACUGUUAAACUAUCUAAAAUCUAAACGUGAGAUUGACGAUGAUCAAAUAAAUCAACUGAAACAGCUUCUACCUGGGGCUGGACCCCCUGAUCCAGCUCCUCCUCCUACUCAUCAGAUGCAUGGGCAGUUCAAUAUUCCUGGACUUGGGCAUACCCACAAUAUGGGCGGGCAACCUCCCUUGAACCAGGGGCAUGGACACAUGGUUGUACAGGGACAUCUAGGAGUAGGGCACAUGGGAGGACCUAAUCAACCAUUUUCGUCAAUGCCUCCUCAACAAUUUAUGGGUCCACCGCCUGGUUUCCCGUCUUCUAUGGGUCCACCCUCUGGGCUACCUAUGGGUAUGAUAGGGAUGCCACCAGUAAGCAUAGCCCCAUCAGGAUUUAUGGGAAUGGAUCUUCAUCAGAGACCACCACCUAGACAAUCACCUCUCGAAGAAGGUGAGCACGCAGCAGAAGAUUCUGAAGACGAUGUUAUGAUGUUGGAUGAUUCAUCCCGUCGUCAUAAAAAGGAUCGUCGGCGGUCGCGAUCACGUGAUCGCCGAUCAAGAUCUAGGUCUGGAAGUAAAAAUAAGAAGGGGAAAAGACGCAGAGGCGACAGAUCACGAUCCAGAUCAAGGUCAAGAGAUCGUCGUAAGAAGAGAUCUCGAUCCCGUGAGCGCGAUCGUGAGCGUGAGAGAGACAAGGAGCGUGAGCGGGAGAAAGAGAAAGAGAAGGAGGAGAAGAAACGGGCGAAGGAGGAAGAAGAUAAGGUUCGGCUACGAGAAGAGGAGCGGAAGAAGAAGGGACUUCCUCCCAUAAGACCAGGACAUCUGUCAGUGUGCUCCACUACUCUAUGGGUUGGGCACCUGUCUAGAUUAGUUCAAGAGGAUGAUCUCUCGGAUAAUUUUGGAACAUACGGGGAGAUAAAUGCAAUUGAUUUGAUUCCGCCCCGUGGAUGUGCUUUUGUUUGCAUGAACAGGCGUAUGGAUGCUUACCGAUCCCUAAAGAACCUGAAUAAAUUCCGGUUGCAUGGGAAACAGAUAACACUAGCCUGGGCUCCUGGGAAGGGGAUGAAGGAUAAGCAGUGGAAGGAUUAUUGGGAUGUUGAAGUAGGAGUCUCCUAUAUACCUAUUGAUAAACUAGACCCUCAGGUUGACAUGGCAGAGUUGGAGGAGGGAGGUAUGUUUGAUGAGGAGACUAUGCCGGACUGGAUGAAAACUAUGCGUGGAGUAGCACUGUCUCGUCCUUCUCAUUCUGUUCCUGUUUCCUUCCAGGAUACUGUUAUACAAGGUUUACCUCCAGGCCUGGGAAUGCCUCCUCCACACGAGAUUGGAUUGCCUCCUCCUCUUAAUAUGGAUCAGGGUCUCCCACCCCCCUUCCUACAACAAGGUGGUCCACAGGGGCUUCUAGGUCCACCGCCUGGUUUACUACCUCCCGGUGGACCACCUAUGUUGGGACCAGGGGGUAAUAUAUUGCUAAGACCAGGAUAUCCUGGACCAAUGGUUCCUGGACCACCUCAUCUUGUGUCUGGACCUCCUCCUGGUUUACAAGGGUUCGACAUCAGUUUACCUCCCCCUCUCAGGUUCGGUGGACCCCCUGGUCUAAAUCUUGGUGGUGGAUUACUGGGAGCUCCUCCCCCACAUCUUAAUAGAGUUCCUGAAUCCAAGGGACCUGGAGAUAUGGAUAUCGAACAGAGUGAUGAGGAAAAAGAUGAUCGCCGAAAUCGUCCGGAUGGAAGAGACAGCAGAGACAGGGGUCGUGAUCGUGGACGAUCCCGAGACGGGGACAGGGAUCGAGAUCGGGAUCGUGAUAGAGAUCGUGAGCGAGAUGACAGGCGGGGAUCUCGAUGGGGAAGAGAUGAUGAUCAAGAUGGAGGUGGUAAUAGGCGUGAAAGGUCACGUGAUGGAAGUAGGAGAGACAGCAGGGGAAGGGACGGCGACCGGGAAAGGGGUGGUCGUGACGGAGAUAGAGGAGGUCGUAACGGAGAGGGAGGUGGUCGUGACGGAGAAAGAGGUGGUCGUGAUGGAGAUAGAGGAGGUCGUGAUGGAGAAAGAGGUGGCCGUGACGUAGAUAGAGGCAGUAGGAACGGAGAAAGAGGAAAGCGAGAGUCGAGAUGGGGUAAAGAAGAGAAGGACGGGCGAGGGGACAAGGGAGAAGAUCGAGAGAGAAAGAAUGAAAAUGAAAACAACGUUCGAGCUCCAGAAUCUCCUUUUGGAGCCCAGACACCUUUUGUAGGGCCUAGAUUUGGAGGUCCCCGGUUUGGUAACCCUGGUGGACCUCCAGGUUUCGAUGGACCCCCACGUUUUAUGCCCCCAAGAUUUGAUGGUCCACCAAGAUUUGACGGACCUCCGAAUGGCCCUCCACGAUUUGAUGGUUCUGCAAGAUUUGAAAAUCCUGUCAGAUUUGAUUUCCGAGGACGUGGAAGAGACUGGAUGGGGCGAGGAGGACCCCCAGAAUUCAGGGGAGGUAUGGAUGGAUUUAGAGGAGGUCCUGUCGGGCCUCAUGGAUUCCGAGGUCGUGGGGGACAUGACGGAUUUCGAGGAGGUCACGAAGGGUUUCGGGGAGGUCAUGGUGGGUCGGAUAGAGGUCUUGACGGAUUUCGGGGUCGUGGCCGGGGCAGAGGAUUUGGACCAGGAUGGGAUGUACCGGAAGGGUUUGGAGGAAUGGGACCUGGGGGUCCCAGGGGUAUCAUCCAGAACAACCAGGAAGCAGAAAAUGAGAAUGAGAAAGAAAAAGGCCCAAACAGUGGCAAUCUUGCUGAGGGCCGUGGACGUGGUGGUUUCGAAGACAGAGGUCGAGGUCGUGGUUUUGGUGGCUUUGGAGAUUGGGAUCGAGGUCGAGGUCGCGGUGGAUUUGGAUUUGGAAGAGGUGGAUUUGGAGAUUGGAACCAGCCUGGAAAUGAAGUGGAAAAUAUUGAAGAUCAGAAUCCAUUUGCCGAUGAGCACAAUCCUUUCUCUGAAAACAAUGCUCCGGGUACAGAACAAAGUACAAGAGAGGAACCUCAAGAGGCUUUCUCUGGGACUGAGCCCUCUCAGGAGACUACAAAAAGUUCUGAACUAGCCUCCGGUAAACCUCAGUCCAGGUUUGAUGCUCCGCAGCAAGAGUUCCUUGGCCAACCCAGCCAGCCUGGAACAGAAAACCAAGAAGAAACUGAACAAAAAAAUGACGGAAUCAUGGCACAACACGGGGUUGAUCAUCAAGAUGGGCAAAUGGAAAUAAACCCUGGUGUUUCUGGUCAACAGGGCAUCAUGUUUGGAGCGACUGAAGAAACUGGUGGUAGAGCUGUGUCUGAUGAAGGGCAUGAAAAGGCCGAGGAAAUCUAUGGUCAACAUGUUGCUGAAAGGGAUGAGCAGAGAUUGAAUGUAAGGGAAGUGAAUGCUGAACUUUCAGAAAACAAGCUCCAAGUUCCGGAGGAACUAGCACCGUCACAUCACGAACCUGAAUCAUCAGAGUUAGUUUUCGAACCUGCGCAACAUGAGGAAAGGCCCAAUUAUCCAGAGCCAGCUGAACAUAUGGCACUAAAUUUGCGUGAACAAGAUAACUCGUCUGCACCGGAAGCAAUGCCUGCAGGAGAACCGCUGGAACAGAUGGUACCUCAGCAGCAAGAAGUUUUUCAAUCUGGCCAAGUGAUAGAAAACCAGCUUCCUACAGUAGUAGAGCAUGAAGUCCAAGAGCCGUCCCAGCCAGAUUUACCAAACCUAGCUGCUGAAGUGAUUGAAGGAACUGGAGAGACCAGUUCUGAAAAAGAGUAGGGGUUUAUUUGUUGAAGACAAGAUGACACCGUGCUAUUUACUUCUUUUGAAUGUAUUGUAAUUAAUUCUCUUAAUAUGUCUUUCUUUCUAACUUUCUAUCCUGAUUGACUGAUUAUCACACUUAUCAAAUCAAUUAUAAAACGCAUGUGGGGAGGGGGGGGGGGG
rnacentral:misc_RNA from 1 species